UACGUAGGGGGCGAGCGUUGUCCGGAAUCAUUGGGCGUAAAGGGCGCGUAGGCGGGAAUACAAGUCUGUUUUUAAAGUUCAGGGCUCAACCCUGUGAUGGAAUGGAAACUGUAUUUCUUGAGGGCAGGAGAGGAAAGUGGAAUUCCUAGUGUAGCGGUGAAAUGCGUAGAUAUUAGGAGGAACACCAGUGGCGAAGGCGGCUUUCUGGACUGCAACUGACGCUGAGGCGCGAAAGCUAGGGGAGCGAACAGG
rnacentral:rRNA from 1 species